GCCCUAGUAACGGCGAGUGAAGCGGCAACAGCUCAAAUUUGAAAUCUGGCCCUUGGGUCCGAAUUGUAAUUUGUAGAGGAUGUUUUUGGUGCGGUAUCUUCCGAGUUCCUUGGAACAGGACGCCUUAGAGGGUGAGAGCCCCGUACGGUUGAAUGCCUAGCCUUUGUAAAACUCCUUCGACGAGUCGAGUAGUUUGGGAAUGCUGCUCUAAAUGGGAGGUAAAUUUCUUCUAAAGCUAAAUACCGGCCAGAGACCGAUAGCGCACAAGUAGAGUGAUCGAAAGAUGAAAAGCACUUUGAAAAGAGGGUUAAAUAGCACGUGAAAUUGUUGAAAGGGAAGGAUUUAUGACCAGACUUUUUCUAGGCGAAUCAUCCGGUGUUCUCACCGGUGCACUUCGUUUAGUUUAGGCCAGCAUCGAUUUUCGAGGCGGGAUAAAAGCUUCAGGAAUGUGGCUCCCUCGGGAGUGUUAUAGCCUGUUGUAUAAUACCGCCUUGGGGAUCGAGGUACGCGCUUCUGCAAGGAUGCUGGCGUAAUGGUUAUCAAUCACCCGUCUUGAAACACGGACCAAGGAGUCGAACAUUUGUGCGAGUGUUUGGGUGUUAAACCCUCACGCGUAAUGAAAGUGAACGGAGGUGAGAGCCCUUCACGGGGUGCAUCAUCGACCGAUCCUGAUGUCUUCGGAUGGAUUUGAGUAAGAGCAUAAAUGUUCGGACCCGAAAGAUGGUGAACUAUGCGUGGAUAGGGUGAAGCCAGAGGAAACUCUGGUGGAGGCUCGCAGCGGUUCUGACGUGCAAAUCGAUCGUCAAAUCUGCGCAUGGGGGCGAAAGACUAAUCGA
rnacentral:rRNA from 2 species